ensembl:rRNA 5S_rRNA 5S ribosomal RNA
GCUUACGGCCAUACCACCCUGAGCGCGCCCGAUCUCGUCUGAUCACGGAAGCUAAGCAGGGUCGGGCCUGGUUAGUACUUUGAUGGGAGACCGCCUGGGAAUACCAGGUGCUGUAAGCU